rnacentral:tRNA from 1 species
UAAUAAGAAGCAAAAAAAUUGCAUUUAAUUUCGACCUAAAAAUAUGGUAAUUAAUUACCCUUAUUAA